rnacentral:rRNA from 1 species
CACGUAGGGCGCGAGCGUUGUCCGGAAUUAUUUGGGCGUAAAGAGCUCGUAGGCGGCCUGUUGACGUCCGCUGUGAAAGCCCGGGGCUUAACCCCGGGUCGGCAGUGGAUACGGGCAGGCUAGAGGUAGGUAGGGGAGAAUGGAAUUCCCGGUGUAGCGGUGAAAUGCGCAGAUAUCGGGAGGAACACCGGUGGCGAAGGCGGCGACCUGGACAGUAACUGACGCUGAGACGCGAAAGCGUGGGUAGCAAACAGGG